ensembl:lncRNA
CUUGUCCAUAGAUUGUUACAUUCUCAACUCUAGCUGAUCCUGAGAAAUGUGAGUUCAAGAAGUAUGUUUUCUGGAGGCAAUGCUAAAAGUUUUUCAGUGGAACAUGUUUUCUCUAUAUACAGUGCUAAGCAGUCUGGAAACAGCUCCUGUUCUUCCAAAAGCAGAACAGUGCUAACUCCAAGGCAAAAGAAAGAAGGGGAAAUGUUUGUCAACUCUAUCCAAUGGCUGGUCACAUAGUAAUUGGGAGGUAAAUUCUCCAACUUCAGUUGUUUUGCUGAUAGUCGGAAUAAUGCCUGGUUUUGUUGUUGGCGAUUUUUGUGUGUGUGUGUGUUUAUUUUUAAUUUUU